rnacentral:misc_RNA from 1 species
AGUAGGAAACAAGCUGAAGAGCGUAUUGAAAGAUCUGUUGUGCGAGUUCAAGCCAUGUUUCGUUCAAAGCAAGCACAAGAACAAUAUAGGAGGAUGAAGUUGGAACAUGAUAAAGCAACGCUGGAAUACGAAGGGACUCUCAAUCCUGACACUGAGAUGGACUAAGAGGACAAUUUACAAGCAUUUCAUAUGUUUUGGCUGCAGUGGGUUUAGGCAAAAGAACCAAAAAACCCCAAAUUCAGUUACGAAAACAUACUGAAGAUGCACAAAAAAGAAACAAAUUCUAGCAAGAGACAAGAGUAAACGAAGAACCAAAAAGCUGAUGAAGGAAAUACACACAUAUACAUAGAAGAGAUAACCAGAUCGACAAAAUACUUAAGUAGAAUAUACUACGUCCGUUCUUUUUUAAUUGUCAUGUAUACUAUCAAAUACUUAUUUCAAAAUAGUUGUUAAGAAGGAAUGGAGGGAUCAUUAAUUUAAUAGUUUGUCGUAGGUUUGUGUAUCAGUUGGUUCAGUUCGGUUUUGAAGUUCAUUAGUUUGUAAAACAUGUUAAAUCAUUAAGAACCAUUA